CCUACGGGAGGCAGCAGUGAGGAAUAUUGGUCAAUGGGCGCGAGCCUGAACCAGCCAAGUAGCGUGAAGGAUGACUGCCCUACGGGUUGUAAACUUCUUUUAUACAGGAAUAAAGUGAGGCACGCGUGCCUUUCUGUAUGUAUUUUAUGAAUAAGGAUCGGCUAACUCCGUGCCAGCAGCCGCGGUAAUACGGAGGAUCCGAGCGUUAUCCGGAUUUAUUGGGUUUAAAGGGAGCGUAGAUGGGUUGUUAAGUUAGUUGUGAAAGUUUGCGGCUCAACUGUAAAAUUGCAAUUGAUACUGGUAGCCUAGAGUACAGUUGAGGUAGGCGGAAUUCGUGGUGUAGCGGUGAAAUGCUUAGAGAUCACGAAGAACACCGAUUGCGAAGGCAGCCUACUAAGCUGCCACUGACAUUGAGGCUCGAAAGUGUGGGUAUCAAACAGGAUUAGAUACCCGAGUAGUC
rnacentral:rRNA from 1 species